AACGAACGCUGGCGGCAUGCCUAACACAUGCAAGUCGAACGAGACCUUCGGGUCUAGUGGCGCACGGGUGCGUAACGCGGGGGAACCUGCCCGUAGGUUCGGAAUAACUCCCCGAAAGGGGGGCUAAUACCGGAUAAUGUCUUCGGACCAAAGAUUUAUCGACUGUGGAUGGGCCCGCGUUGGAUUAGCUAGGUGGUAGGGUAAAAGCCUACCAAGGCGACGAUCCAUAGCUGGUCUGAGAGGAUGAUCCGCCACACUGGGACUGAGACACGGCCCAGACUCCUACGGGAGGCAGCAGUGGGGAAUAUUGGACAAUGGGCGAAAGCCUGAUCCAGCAAUGCCGCGUGAGUGAUGAAGGCCUUAGGGUUGUACAGCUCUUUUACCCGGGAUGAUAAUGACAGUACCGGGAGAAUAAGCUCCGGCUAACUCCGUG
rnacentral:rRNA from 1 species